UUCUGUGAAGAGCCCUAGAGACUGCAUCUUCAUCGCACAUGGAAGUCUGGUCCCUUAUUGUAUAUUACAUUAUUAUAAAUGGUCUUAUCUCUCCUGGACAGAGGCAAGGCUCUGAAUAGUUAUUCUCGAAGGGAAAAUAUCGAUCCCAUGGCAUAAAACAGAUUGAGGUAGCAAAAUGGCACAGAGACGAAAGGGUUAAGUUCCUUCCUCACCACUGCCCCAAUCCAAAUUGGGCCUGUAUGCUUCUGCUUACCAAGGGAAACUACAGAUGCAUGCUCUCAGAUCUCCCAGAGUCUUUAUUAGUUUAUGUACAGGAAACAAUUGAGAACUUAGUGUGUCGCAGGGUUAUUUGCAAAGAUUGUGUAGCAGAGCAAGCUGUAAAAGGUACAAGCGAGCUGACAUUAUGUUAAAAAAUGCUGACAGCUUUCUUGGUUUUUGCUUGAAGCUUCUUUUUUAAAAUGAAACCUACUAAAUUAUGUGGACUGCAGAUAUUCCCCACACAUCUUCCCUCCUCUUCCCCAAGCAUCUUUUUGUCAUUUCAAAUAAAUAUCUAGCAUACAUUGACAAGAUUGUACAGUCAUUUCAGAAUAUAGAAAUAAAAGAAGAGCCCUGCAGGAUUAAACCAGUGAUCUAGCUAG